rnacentral:rRNA from 1 species
CCCAGACUCCUACGGGAGGCAGCAGUGGGGAAUAUUGCACAAUGGGGGAAACCCUGAUGCAGCGACGCCGCGUGAGUGAAGAAGUAUUUCGGUAUGUAAAGCUCUAUCAGCAGGGAAGAAGAAGGACGGUACCUGAGUAAGAAGCCCCGGCUAACUACGUGCCAGCAGCCGCGGUAAUACGUAGGGGGCGAGCGUUAUCCGGAUUCACUGGGUGUAAAGGGAGCGUAGACGGCCAUGCAAGCCAGGGGUGAAAGCCCGGGGCCCAACCCCGGGACUGCUCUGGAAACUGUACGGCUGGAGUGCAGGAGAGGUAAGUGGAAUUCCUAGUGUAGCGGUGAAAUGCGUAGAUAUUAGGAGGAACACCAGUGGCGAAGGCGGCUUACUGGACUGUAACUGACGUUGAGGCUCGAAAGCGUGGGGAGCAAACAGGAUUAGAUACCCCCGUAACG